rnacentral:tRNA from 1 species
AGGAUAAUAAUUUAUGUAAAAUAUUAAAUUUGCAAUUUAAAAAAAUUGAAUUUCAAUUUAUCUUA